GGGGAAUAUUGGACAAUGGGCGAAAGCCUGAUCCAGCCAUGCCGCGUGAGUGAUGAAGGCCUUAGGGUUGUAAAGCUCUUUCAGUGGGGAAGAUAAUGACGGUACCCACAGAAGAAGCCCCGGCUAACUUCGUGCCAGCAGCCGCGGUAAUACGAAGGGGGCUAGCGUUGUUCGGAUUUACUGGGCGUAAAGCGCACGUAGGCGGAUUGUUAAGUCAGGGGUGAAAUCCUGGAGCUCAACUCCAGAACUGCCCUUGAUACUGGCAAUCUUGAGUCCGGAAGAGGUGAGUGGAACUCCUAGUGUAGAGGUGGAAUUCGUAGAUAUUAGGAAGAACACCAGUGGCGAAGGCGGCUCACUGGUCCGGUACUGACGCUGAGGUGCGAAAGCGUGGGGAGCAAAC
rnacentral:rRNA from 1 species